UGUGCCUUGCGGAUGAGAGCUCGUGUUCUACGUCACGUAAUCUACUCGUAGUAUUGUGCAUUUUUAAAGUACAGUGUACUUACUUACCUUUGGGUAAGGUUAGUAUUGAAAGAAAAAAUAAGUAGGACAAAAAGUGAAAAAGAUAACGUUUGCAAUGCUGGUUAUUAAAUUAAUAACAUCUAUUCAUUUCAAGCAUAAAUUAAAAUUAGGAAUAGGAAUAUUCGUUUUAGUUGAAGAGGGCUUAUUCGAAAUAAUAUGACUAAUAGAGCAAUGUAAUAAAAUGGUCAUUAGACAAAUUGAUAAUCAACAAAUGUAACGAAAGAGCCCGACUGACCGGUGAGGAGCUACUACAAUUCGUGAAGAAGACAGUUUCCGAUAAUUUUUCUAUGAGGCUGCAAACGUUAUCAAACAUUUGUUUCAUUGCGAAAGUUUUCUCCGAAAAUUUGGGACCGUAAAAAUCGACAAACUAUUGUUGAUGCCAAUGAUACCAAAAACAAUUAUGGUAACCCUAACGCAAAAAAGGAAACUUAAUAGUACAUGUCUUCGUGGUGUAAUGGUAGCACACUCGGCGCGUAUUCGAGAGGUCCAUGUUCGAGUCCCGGCGAGGGCAUUGCUCAUUUUUCAUGUUGUAGUGAAUAAUUCCAUUACCAUCAGAGAGCAUUCAUUCCAGAGAUGCAUAGCAUCCUGAGAAGGCAGAUCUCCUCAACUGCUUAAGGAAAGGGACAGAAAAUAGCCAAAUCUGGUUUUCUGCCGUGUUUGGCAGCCCAAAAUGUUCUUAACAGGAAUCUAGGCCGUGUAUGCGGCACUUCCCUCAGCAAAAGCUCCCUGAAUACAGGAUCUCAACGAAUUCAGGCUAGCUUAGCUGUGGAGAAUUGUUUUAGAAGUGUAUGAGCGGGACUGUUCACGUUUCCAAAAUAAAGCAUGGAGCUAGACUGAGGACUCUUUGGACCACAGUAUCGUGGAAGUCUCUAGGAUCAAGACCAUCAGGAAAUAAAUCUUCUUAAUGGUCAUAUAACUCUAAUGCAACUGAUUGUUCUUAAUGGUCAUAUAACUCUAAAAAAACUAUUGAUUCACCAUUUUCUUAUUUCUAAGCUAGCUUAGCUGUGAAGAAAUUUUUCAGAAGUGUAUGAGUGGGACUGUUCACAUUUCCAAAAUAAAGCAUGGAGCUAGACUCAGAACUGUUUGGACCACAGUAUCGUGGAAGUCUCUCGGAUCAACACCAUCAAGAACUCAUUGUUCUUAAUGGUCAUAUAACUUUAAAAAAACUAUUGAUUCACCAUUUUCUUAUUUCUAAGCUAGCUUAGCUGUGAAGAAAUUUUUCAGAAGUGUAUGAGUGGAACUGUUCACGUUUCCAAUAUAAAGCAUGGAGCUAGACUGAGGACUGUUUGGAUCGUGGAAGUCUCUCGGAUCAAGACCAUCAAGAACUCAUUGUUCUUAAUGGUCAUAUAACUCUAAAAAACUAUUGAUUCACCAUUUUCUUAUUUCUAGGCUAGCUUAGCUGUGGAGAAUUGUUUUAGAAGUGUAUGAGCGGGACUGUUCACGUUUCCAAAAUAAAGCAUGGAGCUAGACUGAGGACUCUUUGGACCACAGUAUCGUGGAAGUCUCUAGGAUCAAGACCAUCAAGAACUCAUUGUUCUUAAUGGUCAUAUAACUCUAAAAAAACUAUUGAUUCACCAUUUUCUUAUUUCUAGGCUAGCUUAGCUGUGGAGAAUUGUUUCAGAAGUGUAUGAGCGGGACUGUUCACGUUUCCAAAAUAAAGCAUGGAGCUAGACUGAGGACUCUUUGGACCACAGUAUCGUGGAAGUCUCUCGGAUCAAGACCAUCAAGAACUCAUUGUUCUUAAUGGUCAUAUAACUCUAAAAAAACUAUUGAUUCACCAUUUUCUUAUUUCUAGGCUAGCUUAGCUGUGGAGAAUUGUUUCAGAAGUGUAUGAGCGGGACUGUUCACGUUUCCAAAAUAAAGCAUGGAGCUAGACUGAGGACUGUUUGGACCACAGUAUCGUGGAAGUCUCUCGGAUCAAGACCAUCAGGAACUGAUUGUUCUUAAUGGUCAUAUAACUCUAAAAAAACUAUUGAUUCACCAUUUUCUUAUUUCUAGGCUAGCUUAGCUGUGGAGAAUUGUUUCAGAAGUGUAUGAGCGGGACUGUUCACGUUUCCAAAAUAAAGCAUGGAGCUAGACUGAGGACUCUUUGGACCACAGUAUCGUGGAAGUCUCUCGGAUCAAUACCAUCAGGAACUGAUUGUUCUUAAUGGUCAUAUAACUCUAAAAAAACUAUUGAUUCACCAUUUUCUUAUUUCUAAGCUAGCUUAGCUGUGAAGAAAUUUUUCAGAAGUGUAUGAGUGGGACUGUUCACGUUUCCAAUAUAAAGCAUGAAGCUAGACUGAGGACUGUUUGGAUUACAGUAUCGUGGAAGUCUCUCGGAUCAAGACCAUCAAGGACUGAUUAUUCUUGCUGGUUGAUUAACUGAUUGUUAUGGUUACUCUUAAAAAACUAAUGACAUGUUAAGAGCUGAGUUUCCCAACGAGGCCGAAGCGAUCGAUGCUUUGGGCAUAGAUAAAAUUUUGAAAAGGAUCAAUGAGAUAAAGUGUCGAUUGCAGAACAUGCACCAGCGAGUGAUCGACAUACUCAGUAUUCCACUAAUUAUCAGAAAAAUUAUUAAUAAACUUGAUAAUAAAUUAUUUACAAAAUUAGGCAAAGCAACAACUUUGUGUCUGACGUAGAUUUUACUCAAGACUGUCUCUAUUUUGAGAGCACACAGUGCAGGUCCCUUUUCAUAAGGAUCACAGAAACCUGCAACGAAGGCUUAAGGUCAAGUCCUGCUCAUAUGCUGUGAAUAUAGAUGCUACUUGCACGACGUUUUCCUGCUAUUUGAAAUUAAUUCUCUUUGGACGCUUGACUGUGGAAAUCUGUCACGUGAGCCUGAAACGGGUGAGGAUUGGAGGUACGAGGUGCAACGGUUGUAUUGAUACCCAAAAGAAGUAAAGCUAAUGAAAAAGUAGCGCCAUCUGUCAGGAGAAAUAAUAAUGAAAAUUGAAAAAUUAAAUUAAUAGAAAUUUAAAAGCGUUAAGCAGUACUGGGUUGGAAUUAAAGUCAUUAACUAAGCAAGAUAAAUCUUCGUGAAUGUGAAAAGAUUUAAGAGAAUCCAAUUCACUAAUGGAAGAAGCUUUUUUGAUAAUAUCUGCAGAUCCAAAGUCAAAAUUGUGAUUAAAUUUCCAACUAUGAUUAGCUGUCGAAGACUUUGUUAUUCUGUCUGAAUUAAUUGUUUAUUGAUAUAAAGUUGUAUCAUGUAAUAAGGAAGAAGUCAAAUAAAAUAAAUAGAGGG